rnacentral:rRNA from 1 species
GACGAACGCUGGCGGCGUGCUUAACACAUGCAAGUCGAACGGAAAGGCCCUGCUUUUGUGGGGUGCUCGAGUGGCGAACGGGUGAGUAACACGUGAGUAACCUGCCCUUGACUUUGGGAUAACUUCAGGAAACUGGGGCUAAUACCGGAUAGGAGCUCCUGCUGCAUGGUGGGGGUUGGAAAGUUUCGGCGGUUGGGGAUGGACUCGCGGCUUAUCAGCUCGUUGGUGGGGUAGUGGCUUACCAAGGCUUUGACGGGUAGCCGGCCUGAGAGGGUGACCGGGAAGAGUGAGGCGGCGGUACGGCCUAGGGUGGGGGGGGAGGGGGCGGUGGGGAGUAGAGCACGGGGGGCGGGAGCCUGACGCGGCAGCGGCGGGGGCGGGACGACGGCCGUCGGGUUGGAAGCCGCGGUCGGCGGGGAGGAGGGGGGGGUGAAGGUGAGGAGAAAAGACGCACCGGCCAACGACUGGCGAGCGGCCGCAGUAAGAGUCGGAAGAACCGACGACUAACC